GGCUUGUAAAUUGCCAAUUCAUCCCACAUCUUCUUAAGUCUCCCAUAGUACACCAUUACCGUAUCUCUGUUUUGCCUACAGUUUGCUAUAUCAGCCCGAAGCUCACUGAUUCUUGGCCCGUUUCCCGCAGAGAAUUGAAGCUUCAAAUCUUCCCACAACGCUUGAGCUUCAUCCACCAUAGAAAUCGAUGUCCUGAGAGUCGGCUCAAUCGUGUUCAUAAUCCAAGCGAUUAACAUAGAAUUAACCACUUCCCACUGUUCAAUCUCAUCAUCCUUGGUAGGUUUCUCCAAGG
rnacentral:lncRNA from 1 species